rnacentral:rRNA from 1 species
AAAGGAAUUGACGGGGGCCCGCACAAGCGGCGGAGCAUGCGGAUUAAUUCGAUGCAACGCGAAGAACCUUACCAAGGCUUGACAUGAACCGGUAAUACCUGGAAACAGGUGCCCCGCUUGCGGUCGGUUUACAGGUGGUGCAUGGUUGUCGUCAGCUCGUGUCGUGAGAUGUUGGGUUAAGUCCCGCAACGAGCGCAACCCUCGUUCUAUGUUGCCAGCGCGUUAUGGCGGGGACUCAUAGGAGACUGCCGGGGUCAACUCGGAGGAAGGUGGGGACGACGUCAAAUCAUCAUGCCCCUUAUGUCUUGGGCUUCACGCAUGCUACAAUGGCCGGUACAAAGGGUUGCGAUACUGUGAGGUGGAGCUAAUCCCAAAAAGCCGGUCUCAGUUCGGAUUGGGGUCUGCAACUCGACCCCAUGAAGUCGGAGUCGCUAGUAAUCGCAGAUCAGCAACGCUGCGGUGAAUACGUUCCCGGGCCUUGUACACACCGCCCGUCAAGUCACGAAAGUUGGUAACACCCGAAGCCGGUGGCCUAACCCUUGUGGGGGGAGCCGUCGAAGGUGGGACCGGCGAUUGGGACUAAGUCGUAACAAGGUAGCCGUACCGGAAGGUGCGGCUGGAUCNCCUCCU